UCCUGUCACUCAAUUUUCAUUAUUCGCAAGAAAAACUCCACCCUGCUAUCUUUGCUGCUGGCUCUUAACAUUGCGAGCACUUUAAGAAAUUAAUAAAACGUAGCAAUGGUGGAGUGUUGUUGACUUCAAGAUGCCAUCAUGAUUACCAUUUAAAAAUUAGAUUCAAGAUAUCUCUCUUACUUAUAGUCCAACGAAUAAUCCACAAAAGUCUUCCGUGAAAAAAAAGAAGAAAUCAACGAAAAAUGUUUAAGACUUGUCGCGAGGAUAUAAAAACAGAAGGCGAAACCGAAGGAAAAUGUACA